ACUACGGGUGGCAGCAGUGAGGAAUAUUGGUCAAUGGACGAGAGUCUGAACCAGCCAAGUAGCGUGAAGGAUGACUGCCCUAUGGGUUGUAAACUUCUUUUAUAUGGGAAUAAAGUGUUCCACGUGUGGGAUUUUGUAUGUACCCUAUGAAUAAGGAUCGGCUAACUCCGUGCCAGCAGCCGCGGUAAUACGGAGGAUCCGAGCGUUAUCCGGAUUUAUUGGGUGUAAAGUGUGCGUAGGUGGAUUGUUAAGUCAUUUGUGAAAGUUUGCGGCUCAACCGUAAAAUUGCAGUUGAAACUGGCAGACUUGAGUACAGUAGAGGUAGGCGGAAUUCGUGGUGUAGCGGUGAAAUGCUUAGAUAUCACGAAGAACUCCGAUUGCGAAGGCAGCUUACUAAACUGCCACUGACAUUGAGGCUCGAAAGUGUGGGUAUCAAACAGGAUUAGAUACCCGGGUAGUC
rnacentral:rRNA from 1 species